CAGUCGCCGCGGUAAUACGUAGGGUGCGAGCGUUGUCCGGAAUUACUGGGCGUAAAGAGCUCGUAGGCGGUUUGUCACGUCGUCUGUGAAAUCCUAGGGCUUAACCCUGGACGUGCAGGCGAUACGGGCUGACUUGAGUACUACAGGGGAGACUGGAAUUUCUGGUGUAGCGGUGGAAUGCACAGAUAUCAGGAAGAACACCGAUGGCGAAGGCAGGUCUCUGGGUAGUAACUGACGCUGAGGAGCGAAAGCAUGGGUAGCGAACAGGAUUAGAUACCCGAGUAGUCCCUGUCUCUUAUAC
rnacentral:rRNA from 1 species